rnacentral:lncRNA from 1 species
ACUAUUUUACUAAAGGCUUGACAGGAUGAAGAACCUUAAGACAUCAAGCGGAUGGAAGUUUGCCCGUAAUGGAUCUUUCAAUAGUAGAAAUCCAACCUCAGUGAUGAGAGAUCUCUUGAAGUAAGUUCAAUAUGAUAAUAACAACCUAAUUGGUUAGUCAAAAAGCAUAUAUUGAACUGAUAUUAUAUCCUAUUCCUAUAGUAUUUAGUACUCUUGUGUAGUGAUUAAAGAAGAGUUAUAGUUCUGAAUGAGACCUGAGAUGAUAUUUUUUGCGAGAUGUGACUCUACACACAUUCUUGGAGGGACUCACAUAUAUAAGAGCUCCGUAUAUGGCUGC